rnacentral:lncRNA from 10 species
UGUAAAAGUCCAAUAGCAAGAAAACAAAUGUCAGUCAAGCUUAGAUAAACAAGAGUAAAUUUUUUUUUCUGUUUAUACUUAGUCCUGUCAUUUCAUACAAUAGCUGCAAACGAACUAGAUUCUAGUCAUUUCAUGAUUAAUUCAUUAUUUCAAUAGUUUUUUUUUUUUUGGUGAUUUGGGGGAUUUACUAAAUUGAUCUAUGAUUGAACCUUUAUCUACUAAAGAAUCAUUUCCAUCAACCUCUAUGCUAUAGGAAUGAUAUCUAUGUUCACUGGGGAGGGUUGAUUACAUAUGUGAUGGGAACAUCCAAUGCUUAUUUGGAAUUAGUCCAUGUUGAAUUUCUUCUACUGUGGUAUAUAAUUCCCACUGGGCCUGAGCUCGCGUCAAUUCUUGAAGUUGAGUUACUGGUCACGCUAUAGCACCUUCUCAAUACAUCUUCAAACCUGAACUCCUCUUGCCAGAAGUUUAGAGCUCUUUUUGGUCUAACUGUUUUCUCUUAAACCUUUCAGAACUUCCUGAAAACAAUGGAAAACUUGGUUGACCUCUCUACACAACCCUGUGGUGCACAGGCCUGUGAGUCAUCUCAGAUCCUUUCUUCCCAUACACUCUGGUAGCCAUUGCUACUCUAUUGCUUUUGUGCCACACUGAAUGUCUCUACUAGGAUUAUAGCUUCCAAGCAGGUGACACUGGUAAGUGGUUGGAUUCUGACCUAUUUCAAGAAUCUUCCUGUUACCUGAUAGAGCACUCCAACAAAAUUCUAAUCGAUGCAAAAACAGAUACACAGUGUUUGUUAAGGUUCUUUUGAGCUCUGAUAUUUUCUGUUUUUUCACAUCUUUUCCCUCAUCUAUCUUUUUGUAAUUCCAAUGCUGUGUGAUAUAACUUUGUUCAUUUAAUUCAUUGUCAACUAAGUGUGAUUAAGUCUUAAUUGUUACAACUUUUCAACCUAGAGUAUUUGAACCAUAAAAC